GCAGGAAUGGCGGAAUGGUAUACGCGACAGAUUUAGGAUCUGUUUUUUGAGAGUUCGAAUUUCUCUUCCUGUACAA
rnacentral:tRNA from 1 species